AUUGAACGCUGGCGGCAGGCCUAACACAUGCAAGUCGAACGAGUGGCGGACGGGUGAGUAAUGUCUGGGAAACUGCAUGAUGGAGGGGGAUAACUACUGGAAACGGUAGCUAAUACCGCAUACCAUAAGCUGGGCCCAGAUGGGAUUAGAUAGUUGGUGGGGUAACGGCUCACCAAGGCGACGAUCCCUAGCUGGUCUGAGAGGAUGACCAUGCACACUGGAACUGAGACACGGUCCAGACUCCUACGGUAGGCAGCAGGGGGGAAUAUUGCACAAUGGGCGCAAGCCUGAUGCAGCCAUGCCGCGUGUAUGAAGAAGGCCUUCGGGUUGUAAAGUACUUUCAGCGGGGAGGCGUUACCCGCAGAAGAAGCACCGGCUAACCCCGUGCCAGCAGCCGCGGUAAUAC
rnacentral:rRNA from 1 species